GACGAAUGCUGGCUGCGUGCUUAACACAUGCAAGUCGAACGGUGAAGGAGGGCUUGCCCUCCGGAUCAGUGGCGAACGGGUGAGUAACACGUGGGCAACCUGCCCCUCACUCUGGGAUAACGCCGGGAGACCGGCGCUAAUACCGGAUACGACCAGGCGCGACAUCUCGCCUGGUGGAAAGAAUUUCGGUGAGGGAUGGGCCCGCGGCCUAUCAGCUUGUUGGUGGGGUACCGGCCCACCAAGGCGACGACGGGUAGCCGGCCUGAGAGGGCGACCGGCCACACUGGGACUGAGACACGGCCCAGACUCCUACGGGAGGCAGCAGUGGGGAAUAUUGCGCAAUGGGCGAAAGCCUGACGCAGCGACGCAGCGUGAGGGACGAAGGCCUUCGGGUUGUAAACCUCUUUCAGCGGGGACGAAGCGAAAGUGACGGUACCCGCAGAAGAAGCACCGGCUAACUACGUGCCAGCCGCCGCAGUAACAC
rnacentral:rRNA from 1 species